rnacentral:tRNA from 1 species
AGCAGAGUGGCGCAGAGGAAGCGUGCUGGGCCCAUAACCCAGAGGGUUAUGGGGCCCAGAUGGAUCGAAACCAUCCUCUGCUA